rnacentral:rRNA from 1 species
CCUUUCAGAUUGAACGCUGGCGGAAUGCUUUACACAUGCAAGUCGAACGGUAACAGGUCUUCGGACGCUGACGAGUGGCGAACGGGUGAGUAAUAUAUCGGAACGUGCCCAGUCGUGGGGGAUAACGUAGCGAAAGUUACGCUAAUACCGCAUACGAUCUAUGGAUGAAAGCGGGGGAUCGCAAGACCUCGCGCGAUUGGAGCGGCCGAUAUCAGAUUAGGUAGUUGGUGAGGUAAAGGCUCACCAAGCCAACGAUCUGUAGCUGGUCUGAGAGGACGACCAGCCACACUGGAACUGAGACACGGUCCAGACUCCUACGGGAGGCAGCAGUGGGGAAUUUUGGACAAUGGACGCAAGUCUGAUCCAGCCAUUCCGCGUGCAGGACGAAGGCCUUCGGGUUGUAAACUGCUUUUGUACAGAACGAAAAGGUCUCUAUUAAUACUAGGGGCUCAUGACGGUACUGUAAGAAUAAGCACCGGCUAACUACGUG